UCCUACUCCUAUACAUGUACAUUGAGCAUUGUUUUGUGGAUAUCUCCAGCAUGCAUUUUGUUGACAUGCACAGGUACUGUUCAUGUUCCAUUUUGUUCCUUGUCUAGGUAAAAUUUCAUUACUGAAAGGUAUUUUUACGGAGAAAAAUGCAACUGCCACAUGGCGUGUUCAGCGGUGAUUUGAACCCCCAAACACA